AUUGCCUGGCAUGGAGAGACAUACUGCCUGAUUGGAGGCUACCGUGUCUACAGAGAUGCGCCGCUUCCCACACCUGCAAAAGCUGAGCAAGAGAAGCCAGCAUCCAGUGGGGCUCCUAAGAGACAGCGAGUUCAGGAAGAGUCAGAUCAAGAUCUAGGCUGUCCCAGUGCAAAAAUUCCUCUCCUGAAAUUGAAGCUUGGUGACAAACGGU
rnacentral:lncRNA from 1 species